GCAGACACAUUCCAGCCAAUCAGCAGCAGACCCUCCCUCCCAGACCCUCCCACCUCCUGGACAGCAUCCAUUUUGAUGCUGCAUUCUUAGUGAGCUGUCCAGGAGUUGGGAGGGUCUGGGAGGGAGGGUCUGCUGCUGAUUGGCUGGAAUGUGUCUG